rnacentral:rRNA from 1 species
AUUGAACGCUGGCGGCAGGCCUAACACAUGCAAGUCGAGCGGAUGAAGGGAGCUUGCUCCUGGAUUCAGCGGCGGACGGGCGAGUAAUGCCUAGGAAUCUGCCUGGUCGUGGGGGAUAACGUCCGGACACGGGCGCUAAUACCGCAUACGUCCUGAGGGAGAAAGUGGGGGAUCUUCGGACCUCACGCUAUCAGCUGAGCCUAGGUCGGAUUAGCUAGUUGGUGGGGUAAAGGCCUACCAAGGCGACGAUCCGUAACUGGUCUGAGAGGAUGAUCAGUCACACUGGAACUGAGACACGGUCCAGACUCCUACGGGAGGCAGCAGUGGGGAAUAUUGGACAAUGGGCGAAAGCCUGAUCCAGCCAUGCCGCGUGUGUGAAGAAGGUCUUCGGAUUGUAAAGCACUUUAAGUUGGGAGGAAGGGCAGUAAGUUAAUACCUUGCUGUUUUGACGUUACCAACAGAAUAAGCACCGGCUAACUUCGUG